rnacentral:rRNA from 1 species
UACGUAGGCAGCAAGCGUUGUUCGGAAUUACUGGGCGUAAAGAGUGUGUAGGCGGUGCUCCAAGUCUGGUGUGAAGUCUCCCGGCUUAACUGGGAGGGUGCAUUAGAAACUGGAAUGCUAGAGGAUAGGAGAGGUAAGCGGAAUUCCUGGUGUAGUGGUGAAAUGCGUAGAUAUCAGGAGGAACACCUGUGGUGUAGACAGCUUACUGGACUAUUUCUGACGCUGAGACACGAAAGCGUGGGUAGCAAACAGG